ACGGGGUGAGUAACACGUGGGCAACCUGCCUAUGAGACUGGGAUAACUCCGGGAAACCGGGGCUAAUACCGGAUAAUACUUUUCUACUCAUGUAGAAAAGCUGAAAGAUGGUUUCGGCUAUCACUCAUAGAUGGGCCCGCGGCGCAUUAGCUAGUUGGUGAGGUAACGGCUCACCAAGGCGACGAUGCGUAGCCGACCUGAGAGGGUGAUCGGCCACACUGGGACUGAGACACGGCCCAGACUCCUACGGGAGGCAGCAGUAGGGAAUCUUCCGCAAUGGACGAAAGUCUGACGGAGCAACGCCGCGUGAGUGAUGAAGGUUUUCGGAUCGUAAAACUCUGUUGUUAGGGAAGAACAAGUAUCGGAGUAACUGCCGGUACCUUGACGGUACCUAACCAG
rnacentral:rRNA from 1 species